GGACUACAGGGGUAUCUAAUCCCGUUCGCUCCCCUGGCUUUCGCGUCUCAGCGUCAGGUGGGGUCCAGGAGCCCGCUUUCGCCACGGGCGUUCCUUCCGAUCUCAACGCAUUUCACCGCUCCACCGGAAGUUCCGGCUCCCCCUACCCCCCUCCAGACCGGUCGUAUCCGGGCCCGUUCCCCGGUUGAGCCGGGGGCUUUCAGCCACGGACGUGCCGGUCCGCCUACACGCGCUUUAAGCCCAGUGAUUCCGAAUAACGUUUGCACGGUUCGUCUUACCGCGGCUGCUGGCAC
rnacentral:rRNA from 1 species